CGACGUGUGACGUAAGGUAUAUAUACACACGUAUACACACAUACGCAGAGCCGCGACGUAUUUAUCCAACACGUGACCCCCGGGUGACGGAGAAAUGGCGCGCAGAUCACUAGGAAAAGAUAUGCGCACGCAUAACAUCAAGUCGGUGCUAGAGCUCGGAGUCAGAGCCAACCCCAUACAUCAGAGAGACUGUGAGCCCAGCCAGCACACACAGCAUCCGCAGAGGAGAAAAGAAAAAAGAAAAAAGGAGAGACAGCGUGUCAAUGGCGUUCACACACACUUCCACAAUGGACGAUGCUUAUCCGGCGCUUCGAUUCCGCCCGCCGCCGUUCUAAUACGCAUUCGCUGCUUCAUCGUUCAGCGAGAUCAACACGAAAAUAUACAGGCUGUAUAGUAUGGCAUACGUGUGCAGACCGGCGCAUUUAUAAAACGAUAACGGGGGAGAAGAGUAUAAUAGAGAGAGAGAGG